rnacentral:rRNA from 1 species
UGGCUCAGAGCGAACGUUAGCGGCGGGCUUAACACAUGCAAGUCGAGCGAGAAAGGGGCUUCGGCCCUGAGUACAGCGGCGGACGGGUGAAUAACACGUAGGUAACCUUCCUUCCAGCGGGGACAACGGUCCGAAAGGACCGCUAAUACCGCAUACGUUCCCUGGGACCCUGGUCCCGGGGAGGAAAGCUCCGCAAGGGGCACUGGAUGAGGGGCCUGCGUAGCAUCAGCUAGUUGGUGGGGUAAUGGCCUACCAAGGCUAAGACGCUUAGCUGGUCUGAGAGGAUGAUCAGCCACACUGGGACUGAGACACGGCCCAGACUCCUACGGGAGGCAGCAGUGGGGAAUAUUGGACAAUGGGCGCAAGCCUGAUCCAGCCACGCCGCGUGAGUGAUGAAGGCCUUCGGGUCGUAAAGCUCUGUGGGGAGGGACGAAUGGCGCCGUGAAGAGCGGCGAGUGACGGUACCUCCUUAGCAAGCACCGGCUAACUUCGUG